GCCGCUUUAGCUCAGUGGUAGAGCAGCUCAUUCGUAAUGAGCGGGUCAUCGGUUCAAAUCCGAUAAGCGGCU
rnacentral:tRNA from 1 species